AACGAACGCUGGCGGCAGGCCUAACACAUGCAAGUCGAGCGAGCAUUUCGGUGCUAGCGGCGGACGGGUGAGUAACGCGUGGGAACGUGCCCUUUUCUGCGGAAUAGUCCUGGGAAACUGGGGGUAAUACCGCAUACGCCCUUUUGGGGAAAGAUUUAUCGGAGAAGGAUCGGCCCGCGUUGGAUUAGGUAGUUGGUGGGGUAAUGGCCCACCAAGCCGACGAUCCAUAGCUGGUUUGAGAGGAUGAUCAGCCACACUGGGACUGAGACACGGCCCAGACUCCUACGGGAGGCAGCAGUGGGGAAUCUUAGACAAUGGGGGCAACCCUGAACUAGCCAUGCCGCGUGAGUGAUGAAGGCCUUAGGGUUGUAAAGCUCUUUCAGCUGGGAAGAUAAUGACGGUACCAGCAGAAGAAGCCCCGGCUAACUCCGUG
rnacentral:rRNA from 1 species